rnacentral:rRNA from 1 species
CCUACGGGUGGCUGCAGUGAGGAAUAUUGGUCAAUGGACGAAAUUCUGAACCAGCCAUGUCGCGUGCAGGAUGACUGCCCUAUGGGUUGUAAACUGCUUUUAUACCGGGGUAAAACGAGGCACGUGUGGCGUUUUGCAUGUACUUUAUGAAUAAGGAUCGGCUAACUCCGUGCCAGCAGCCGCGGUAAUACGGAGGAUCCGAGCGUUAUCCGGAUUUAUUGGGUUUAAAGGGAGCGUAGAUGGGUUGUUAAGUCAGUUGUGAAAUUUUGCGGCUCAACCGUAAAGUUGCAAUUGAUACUGGCAGACUUGAGUACAGUUGAGGCAGGCGGAAUGCGUGGUGUAGCGGUGAAAUGCUUAGAUAUCACGAAGAACCCCGAUUGCGAAGGCAGCUUACUAAACUGUGACUGACAUUGAUGCUCGAAAGUGUGGGGAUCAAACAGGAUUAGAUACCCCGGUAGUC